rnacentral:lncRNA from 1 species
UGCCCUGGCAACAACUGGUCACCUAGGGACUCCACAACAAGCUGGCUCCCAAACCCCCUAGAAGCUCAUUUGGAGGUUGGCUGCCGUCUCUGUCAAUAACUAAUCAGUUCUUUGUGAGUCUCAUCUAAUUCCUCAACCCAGCUGGUCCCGUGUACAAGGAACUGAACACCCUUGGGAAGAUGAAACAUGAACAAAAUUCUAACAGCGAUGGAUCCUGGAAAGUUUGGGGAAGAGACACAUUUGUGGUGAAGCUGAAAUGUCUCACUGAUGUUGAGGGCAAGAUUUCUCUCUAGAAAAGGAGGAAAUGUCAAGAAUAAAGAAUGUUUCUCAUGGUCA